rnacentral:rRNA from 1 species
CCUACGGGUGGCUGCAGUGGGGAAUUUUGCACAAUGCUCGUAAGAGUGACGCAGCGACGCCGCGUGAAUGACGACGGCCUUCGGGUCGUAAAGUUCUUUCGACAGGGAAGAAAAUGCAUAUAAGUAACUGUGUAUGUAUUGACGGUACCUGUAUAAGCAGCCCCGGCUAACUCCGUGCCAGCAGUCGCGGUAAUACGGAGGGGGCGAGCGUUGUUCGGAGUGACUGGGCGUAAAGGGCACGUAGGCGGUUUUGUAAGUCAUUAGUCAAAGACUAGAGCUCAACUUUAGUAAGGCUAGUGUUACUAUAAUACUAGAGUAUCAGAGAGGAGUGCAGAAUUCCUGGUGUAGCAGUGAAAUGCGUAGAUAUCAGGAGGAAUACCGUUAGCGAAGGCGGCAAUCUGGCUGGAAACUGACGCUGAUGUGCGAAAGCGUGGGUAGCAAACAGGAUUAGAUACCCUGGUAGUC